GCAUCAGGAAGAAAGCUUGCUUUCUUUGCUGGCGACCGGCGCACGGGUGAGUAACACGUAUCCAACCUGCCCUUUACUCGGGGAUAGCCUUUCGAAAGAAAGAUUAAUACCCGAUGGGAUAAUUAUUCCGCAUGGUUUGAUUAUUAAAGGAUUCCGGUAAAGGAUGGGGAUGCGUUCCAUUAGGUUGUUGGUGAGGUAACGGCUCACCAAGCCUUCGAUGGAUAGGGGUUCUGAGAGGAAGGUCCCCCACAUUGGAACUGAGACACGGUCCAAACUCCUACGGGAGGCAGCAGUGAGGAAUAUUGGUCAAUGGGCGCUAGCCUGAACCAGCCAAGUAGCGUGAAGGAUGAAGGCUCUAUGGGUCGUAAACUUCUUUUAUAUAAGAAUAAAGUGCAGUAUGUAUACUGUUUUGUAUGUAUUAUAUGAAUAAGGAUCGGCUAACUCCGUGCCAGCAGCCGCGGUAAUACGGAGGAUCCGAGCGUUAUCCGGAUUUAUUGGGUUUAAAGGGAGCGUAGGUGGACUGGUAAGUCAGUUGUGAAAGUUUGCGGCUCAACCGUAAAAUUGCAGUUGAUACUGUCAGUCUUGAGUACAGUAGAGGUGGGCGGAAUUCGUGGUGUAGCGGUGAAAUGCUUAGAUAUCACGAAGAACUCCGAUUGCGAAGGCAGCUCACUGGACUGCAACUGACACUGAUGCUCGAAAGUGUGGGUAUCAAAC
rnacentral:rRNA from 1 species